UACGGAGGGUGCAAGCGUUGCUCGGAAUUAUUGGGCGUAAGGGUAGGUAGGUGGUCUCAUUGUCUGGGUGAAGCCUUGAGCUUAACUCAAGAAGUGCCCCAGAAACGGUGAGACUAGACGUUUCUGGAGAGGGUCGUGGAAGUUCCCGGUGUAGCGGUGAAAUGCGUAGAGAUCGGGAGGAACACCAGAGGCGAAGGCGGCGACCUGGACAGAUACUGACACUCAACUACGAAAGCGUGGGUAGCAAACAGG
rnacentral:rRNA from 1 species